GGGCCUGUGGCCUAGUUUGGAGCGAACUUAAAGCGUUUCGCGAACAGAUAGGGCACCUGCCUGCGGAGCAGGAGAUCUCGAGUUCAAAUCUCGACAGGCCCA
rnacentral:tRNA from 1 species